UAAACACGAUCCCUUCAUCGCUCUGUUCUCUACCCCAUAUCUUCCUCUCCCUCUCCCUCACACGUAUCUUCCUCUAUUUCUUUCUCUCUCUCUAAACCCUAGAAACUAUCCCACCGACCCUUCCUUUCUCAGAAGAAAUUCCGCGCAUCUCCACUCUCCAUUCUCUCUCUUCCCCCAGGGAAAACGAAAUCAUCUUCUCUCCACAAACUGAAGCAAGGGAGUUUUCGGCAUGGAUCCAGCUGAUCAAUGAUCGUAAUGCAUCAAAUUUUGGUUCCUCAUCUGGAUCUAAAAAGCAAUUGGAUCAGGAUCUAAACCAAUGGCGACAACACAAAACAAACCCGGAAAGUACGCGGACACGGAUUGAUAUAUCAGUUCACAUUAUUCAAUAUCUGCAACACUGUAUGGAAUAUUUUUCGUAGGUUCAGAACCUACAAGAUCUAAACCAAUGGCGACAACACAAAACAAACCCGGAAAGUACGCGGACACAGAUUGAUAUAUCAGUUCACAUUAUUCAAUAUCUGCAACACUGUAUGGAAUAUUUUUCGUAGGUUCAGAACCUACAAGUAAGCACUUUCAAUUUGAUUUUAUGUUUGUGCAGCUUUUUUAGUUUCUUUCCAAUAUAAUUGGUGUAGUUGAUUGAUUGCUUGACCAAAGCAUUCAACGUCACAAACGGAUUAAAAGUGGACCAGUUUGUGGGUUCCAAGUUUCUAAAUAUUAUUCAGAUGAUAUAUGUAGUUGGGCAGUGCUACGUCUUCGGUUUUUCUAAUCUCCUCAACUUACAUGCUUGAUCACACUGUAAUCCAUGAUGGACGAUGCAGUGGAGAAGGGUUGACGCAAGGCAAUGCUGCAGGUUCCAUUUGUUAUCUAGCGUCCGCCUAUCGGUCAUCUCAACAAACUACGUGGGCAGGUGUUUCUCAAUGGGCAGGCGUUUCCUCUCCACCUGUGCAUCUCCAGAGUCACUCCCAACUGCCGGUAGCUAGGCCCAUUAUUGUCCUUAGUACGGCCCUAACAGCCACCAGCAUACCGAUUACAGCCUGUCUAUUUCUAAAAAAAAAUCCUGCACUUUUCUUGGACCAGGGAAAGACGAUAAUCAGACCAACUAGAUAGCAAAUGCAGAUAUGCAUCGAACAGACUCCAUGUACGUGUUACAAGACUGAAGGGCACAAAUCCUUUCUUUGAAUUGACACAUGUCGAGAAAAAGCAUGCACUUCCCUUGAGCAGGGCGAAGACGAGAAUCGGACCAACUAGAUAGGACCGUGGGUUUAGGAAAGUGUUGAGGCGGGCGUUGUCUAUACAGCGUCCGGAUGCUGGACGCGCAUUUUGUGGAGAUGUCGAUGCAAUGGCACCGGAAGAGGGAUUCAUAUCCGGUGGCAGCUAUAGGCUGCGGCAGGGUAGUCCGGCAUGGGCUCGCGGAAGACUGGAAAUUUGGAAAAGGAUGGGCGAGGAGUACAUAGAGAGGCAAACCGGACACAGCGAGGGGCAGAUACAUGGCACGUCAACACGUUUUUUAGAGGUGGCUUCUACAGUUUUUGUUGUUGGAAUACAAACAACAGAACAUAUACGGUUUGCAUGUCUCCAUAUCUAUGACUUUAGCCACAAACAGCAUUUUAGAUGGCACCUACAGUUUUUUUUAUUGAACAGAUUGGGAGUUUUAAAUAGCUUGAGAUAUAAGUUAUUUAAAUUAUAAUUAAGAUUUUUUA